UCAUGGCUCAGAUGGUAAAGAAUCUGCCUGUAAUGCAGGAGACCCAGGUUCGAUCCCUGGGUCAGGAA
rnacentral:tRNA from 1 species